rnacentral:rRNA from 1 species
AUGCACCUACGGGGGGCAGCAGUGAGGGAUAUUGGUCAAUGGGGGAAACCCUGAACCAGCAACGCCGCGUGAGGGAAGACGGUUUUCGGAUUGUAAACCUCUGUCCUCUGUGAAGAUAAUGACGGUAGCAGAGGAGGAAGCUCCGGCUAACUACGUGCCAGCAGCCGCGGUAUUACGUAGGGAGCAAGCGUUGUCCGGAUUUACUGGGUGUAAAGGGUGCGUAGGCGGCCUUGCAAGUCAGAAGUGAAAUCCAU